GGAUUAGAUACCCUGGUAGUCCACACCGUAAACGAUGAGAGCUAGUUGUUGGCAGGCAUGCCUGUCGGUGACGCAGCUAACGCAUUAAGCUCUCCGCCUGGGGAGUACGGUCGCAAGAUUAAAACUCAAAGAAAUUGACGGGGGCCCGCACAAGCGGUGGAGCAUGUGGUUUAAUUCGAAGCAACGCGCAGAACCUUACCUACCCUUGACAUCCCGAUCGCGGUUUCCAGAGAUGGAUUCCUUCAGUUAGGCUGGAUCGGUGACAGGUGCUGCAUGGCUGUCGUCAGCUCGUGCCG
rnacentral:rRNA from 1 species